GUCAUUGCUGAGGUAUGAGCAGGCCGUUUGCCCCUCACAGUGUAAACAUAGCCACCAGAAAGUUCAGACUGAACUGAGCCCACCACAGCUCCACAAAGCCACUGUAACCAGACUGCCUCUCUAGAUUCCUCCUCUCUGGGCAGGGCUUCUCCGAAAGAGAGGCAGAAGUCCCAGUCAGGGGCUUACAGAUAAAGCUCCCAUCUCCCAUGGACAGAGCACCCAGGGGAAGGGGCAGCUGUAGGUGUAGCUUCAGCAGACUUAAAAGUUCCUGCCUGCGGGCUCUGAAGAGAGCAGCAGAUCUCCCAGCAUAGUGCUCGAGCUCUGCUAAGAGACAGACCGCCUCCUCAAGUGGGUCCUUGAACACUAUGCCUCCUAACAGGGAGACACCUCCCAGCAGGGGUGGACGGACACCUCAUACAGGAGAGCUCCAGCUGGCAUCUGGUGGGUGCCCCUCUGGGAUGAAGCUUCCAGAGGAAGGAGCAGACAGCAAUCUUUGCUGUUCUUCAGCCUCCACUGGUGAUACCCAGGCAAACAGGGUCUGGAAUGGAACUCCAGCAAACUCCAGUUUGAAAUUUAUAAAAUAAUUGAAGGAUAUCUUCCCUGGAUAUUUAGGGAAGAGAGCAGUCAUUGCUCUUGUUUAGCUUGGAUUUCUCCUGUUUCAGUGCUAUUCAAGUUCUACUGUACCUCCAUCAAGUCUCUUUUGAAGUGUCAUUUUCUUGCAACCUCUGCCUAUGGAUUUAAAUUGAAGGGUUUAAAUGUACUUUGUAAGUUUAUUCUAUUGGUUAUGUUCCACACAAUAUCCUAUACUAAGUCAUUGCCUGGGAAUGUUUUCUUAUUUGAUUCACUCUCUUUGCUGGAUACAAAUAGUAUUAAUAAAUUAAGCAUCUUGUACACUUUAUGAUCAAUGUUUUACCCACUUUGCAUUCUUCUUGGUAUUCACUGAAGAAAAGAGUUGUGUUCCAUUUCUUUUAGGUCUCAGUUGAAAAUGGAUUUUUCUAUUUAAAAGUAAAUAUACAACCAAAUCUUCCUGAAUUGUCAUCUAGAUGUGCUUCCAGUAGUGUUUUUCUAUGCUUACUUUCUAUCCAUGUGACAUGGGUUGCAUGUACAUCUGUGCUAAUUAAAUGUAUAAUUAUCGUUAAUCAAGUUCUCGAUGUACAGUAUAUAAGAGAAAUUAGGAUAUUUAUCCUGUGAAAUAGCUGUGGUGUCAUAUGUUUUAUUUGUAAAAUACUGUGGUAUUUCAAGAAAAUCUUCAAAAUCAAUUAAAUCUGUUGUUUGUAGUGGUUUUGUCUUCACUAGUUGUGCCAUCAGGUUAUCCAACCUGAUUUUUUUCUCUCUUCCAUCCAUUCCUUUCCCCACCCAGAAACAGAUGACACUCUAAGUAAUGAGUACCUGAUGUGGAGGAUCUGAAAUUUGCAAGCUAGGAAAUCAGAAAUUAUUUUUUCUAGUUGAUAGUAAUGGUUGUUGACUUUUCUUUUUAAACUUGUGCUUUACAUUCUAUGGAUCUCAAUAUUUGGUUAACUUUUUGAACUAAGUCUUACUGCUACUUUCUUUGCUAUGCUGUCAGACUUACGGUUAUCAUGUGUAAGGUCAGGGGAGAUGUGUGUCAGGAGAGGGAAAGCAAUGAUUCCACUCUGAUAAAACAGCAGUUAUGGGAAAACUACAAAAAGGGAAAUAGAAAAUAGCUACUUACAAUUUCCAUCUCUGCUGUUCAACCAAGCAGACCGAAGGUAAGUGCUGGCUGUGAAAGCAGCUUCUAGCUAUCUUACUUUGAGCCACCAAGAGAGAAUCAUCCUUUAAAAAAAAAAAAAAAAAAAAA
rnacentral:lncRNA from 1 species